rnacentral:rRNA from 1 species
CCCUUAGAUGUUCUGGGCCGCACGCGCGCUACACUGACUACUUCAACGAGUUGUUUCCUUGAUCGAAAGGUCUGGGUAAUCUUUGAAAGGUAGUCGUGAUGGGGAUAGAUCCUUGCAAUUUUUGAUCUUCAACGAGGGAUUCCUAGUAAACGCAAGUCAUCAGCUUGCAUUGAUUACGUCCCUGCCCUUUGUACACACCGCCCGUCGCACCUACCGAUUGAAUGGUCCGGUGAAUCUUUAGGACUGUGGCUGAGGCCUUGCCUUGUGCGGGUCUGGCCGUGGGAAUUUAGUUAAACCUUACCAUUUAGAGGAAGGUGAAGUCGUAACA